UUCAGCUCAGUGACGGUUAUUGCCAAUCUACCUAAGAAAACAUGGCGGCGUCGGUAAAGCUUGUUGGAUUUUGUUUUAUUUGUAAAGCCAUUUACGACAAGGAAAACCAGAAAGUUUUCAUUGUUUUGUUCCUCUCUGUCAACGUCAGCAGGUGUGACUGUGCUGUAUUCACCUAGUUUAUCAACGACCAACAACCAAUCUUUUGAAGAUGUCUCUGCCCUCGGUAUACAGCACACAAAUGAUGUUGACUCAUCAGUAGAUUCCUUUCCUAAUACUGAUGACAGUGGAGAUGUUUUCCCAUCUUCUGCAUUGGCUAGUGCAAAUACGUUAACAACAGCCUCUAAUGUAGAUCACCUCAUUACUGAUUCGCCAAGCACGCCAAUGCUGUCAUCUGAUCAACAAGCUUCUCGUUUCGGAAAUGAUGUCUCUACAAAAAGUUCUAUUAUCAAUAGAACCGAAUUCGUUUAGAUAAUGAUUUCACACGGUACCUAACGACCAAACGCUGCCUGUGAUUUGACCAAAAAUUGAACAACGAAAAAUAUUUACAUUACAACAUUUAGUUACUUACUUUUUUAAUUCCAUGUUUUGGAACAAUCGUAGAUCCUUUUAUAUUCUAACUUUUUUGACCGUCUGAAACCAAUAUUUGACAUUUUGUAUUAAUCAUUACCAGUUUGAAUACAUUCAUUUCUUAGA
rnacentral:lncRNA from 1 species